rnacentral:rRNA from 1 species
UACGUAGGGUGCAAGCGUUAAUCGGAAUUACUGGGCGUAAAGCGUGCGCAGGCGGUUAUGUAAGACAGAUGUGAAAUGCCCGGGCUCAACCUGGGAAUUGCAUUUGUGACUGCAAGGCUGGAGUUUGGCAGAGGAGACUGGAAUUCCUGGUGUAGCAGUGAAAUGCGUAGAUAUCAGGAGGAAUACCGAUGGCGAAGGCAGGUCUCUGGGCUAUAACUGACGCUCAUGCACGAA